GAGCACCUCUCCUAGGAAGUAAGGCAAGGGAUCAUUAUAUGCUUUCUUCAGUAUCCCUGCAUUAUAAAAAGUCACUGGGCCUUGAGCUGGUCUUCUAUGUCAUUGUUUCUCCAAACAUCUGAAGGGCACUGUCAUCUUACAGACCAGAACUGGAAGCUUGCUCUUACACUGGCAUCAAAGCCAGAAGGAGAAAAAGGAGCCACUGUCAUGCAGAACAUAAGACACAGAAAAAGUAAAAUGAGGUGGGAGGAGCUUGGGAAAAGUGCUGGAUGGGCAGAAGAAUGUCUGUAGGAAAGAUCAGACUGGACCAUGAAACCCUCUAAGGAUGGAAGGUUUCUGUGCCUACGGCCUCCUUAAAACCUCUUUUGAUGUCUGAAAGAUUUUACAUCUUUUGGUAUUGUGUAAGGUAUUGGGCAAACUGCUAGAGCUGAGCAAAACAGAGAUGGAACUCACAUAAUUUGGGGACUGACAGCAGCUGCAUUGGCCUUAACCUAUCAAGAAAUUGCUGGAUAAAUCCUCCCAUGUUUUCCACCUGCCCCAGGAACCCAAGUUACAUAGGACCUUUCAGGCUGGUGCUGUCAAUCCUCUAGAAGGAUUUUUUGCCCUGUCUUAGCCUGUGCUCUAUUUCUUUUUAGCUCUGGUGUAAAUAAAGUAUAUGGCAAACAGUCCAUAAUGUAGUAAAGGAGGAAAAUAUUUUUUUCUCUUUUUAUUUUUGACUGUACUUAUUGCUGCAAUAUGUCAUCAUGCUAAUUCUGAUAGUCCAAGAAAGAAAAGACAAUGGUCGACACCUGGAAGUUUUGUGUAAUUCUAGCACUAGAUAAUUACCUUUUACAUUCAAAUAUCUAUGAGCUGUUUCUUUUUGGGCUCCAAGAGAAAAAAUUUUGAUUAAAAUCCCUGAGGAGGAAGACGUUUCACUCACAUUGAAUAAUUUGGCAUGACUUGGUCUUUGGUCAGAUUAGAACCAGCAUUUGUACUGCAGCCAUUUCAGAGCUGAUAUGGUGGAGAAAAAGUAGGUACUCAGGUUGCACCAUGGUAAGAGCCACUGUUGGCAUCUCAUCUUCCCAGGCACCUUAUUUAUUAGAGAAUCUCGGCUUUUUUUUUUAAAUGCACCUCACUUAAUUCUCUGACAAAGUCAUGGAGGUAGAGAUGGUGUUGCUCCUUUAAAGCUUUUAGACUGGGUGAAGAAAAUAUUUAAGUUGAUUGCCUAUCAUCUCAGUCAUGAGUUCCCUGCUUCACUCUGUAUCCCUUAGGUUUGGAAAUGUAAUGGCUAGAUCCCAGAUCUGGGAUUCCCUUAGAUGGGGAACAACAGCAACUGAUCAACCCAGGCAUCUUGCAUUUCCUUUCCCACUCCAAGUUAAACAGAAGAGAAGGGAAUUGGGUGAUUUGCUUCAAAACAUUUGUGCAGAGCAUUGUAUUAUAGCUAAAUAUUUUCUCAAAAUUCUUGCCAGGAAGUUUGCCUGAGCAUUCCUCCCGUUUAAUUUUUUUUCAAACCUCAAGAAGCACAAGCAACUUAUAUUGAUGACUCCUGAUGUUUCAUUGCUACUGAUGUCUCA